GUCGAUUUGUACGUGGCUUACAGAUUUGGAAACUCUACUUGGUUUGUAGUUUUGUUGGUACCUGCUUAGUUAUCCAAAACUUACACAAUGUGAUGUGCUUGAGAGGUCUGGAAUUUUUGUUGACACCUGCAACCCAAACUGGCCUUGAAAAUAUUUCACCCAUUUCAGGUGUAUUCGUAAUCAUGGUCACUGAGAUACCUCAGUGUCAGAUGUCGGAGGGACUCCAAAACCUGGACGAGCCAAAACCAGGGAAGAACCCAUGCACAUACUAUUGUAAUAUCGGUAAAAGCUCUUAUGCCUUGGCAGAGAUCAAAUUGACUUGGCCGAGAUAAUGCUGGAACAUGGUCUGGAGCAGUACAAACCCAACUAGGGGAUUCAGAACACGAUAAACAGAAUCAAAGAUCUUAUUGGAAGUUUCAACUCAGCGGAGUUCAGAUAUAUCAAAAAGACUGCCAAUAAUGUGGCACAUAUACUCUAGCAGUCCUGGUUGUUGACACGCACUCUUCUAAACAGUGGCUUUCAUCUCCUCCUUCUUGUAUAGCUCAGAUCCUUGAGAUUGAGCAUUCUA